CAGCCGCGGGAAUACAGAGGGUGCGAGCGUUAAUCGGAUUUACUGGGCGUAAAGCGUGCGUAGGCGGCUUCUUAAGUCGGAUGUGAAAUCCCUGAGCUUAACUUAGGAAUUGCAUUCGAUACUGGGAAGCUAGAGUAUGGGAGAGGAUGGUAGAAUUCCAGGUGUAGCGGUGAAAUGCGUAGAGAUCUGGAGGAAUACCGAUGGCGAAGGCAGCCAUCUGGCCUAAUACUGACGCUGAGGUACGAAAGCAUGGGGAGCAAACAGGAUUAGAUACCCGUGUAGUCCCUGUCUCUUAUACACA
rnacentral:rRNA from 1 species